GCUGUGAUGGCCGAGAGGUUAAGGUGUUGGACUCGAAAUCCAAUGAGGUCUCUCUGUGCUGGUUCGAUCACCGCUCACAGCG